CGACCUGUCCAGGGUGUACCCUGCCUUCCGCCCGAAGCCAGCUGGGAUAGGCUCCAGCCCCCCGUGACCCCAAACGGUAUAAGCGGUCAAGAAUAUGGAUGGAUCUCCCUUCCCUUCAUUUGAUGGAGCUCCUCUGCAGAGGAUUCAAGACACCCCAGCUGUAUCUCACCUGGCCAGCGCCUGGACCUUGGCUGUGUGUCUCUCCUCCAGCUCUGCCAGCUUCUUCUUCAGCUGAUCCGUUUCCUGCCUGAGGCCUGCAGAGUGCUCCAUCUCUCCAUCCAGCAGGCUGCGGAGGGACCUGUCAAGCACAUCAAGUGUGUCAUGUUUUUAUACACAAAAUACACGUCUUUCAGUGUCAUGAUCCUGUACAUUCUGACGUACUGAGUGUCAACACUCCAAUUUAUGUUGUUCUCAUGAGAAGUCAAUCAGAGGAACAUUAAUAUGCUCCUUUAUUUGCAUUUAUAAAUGACUGAAUACAGCGCUCAGCUCUGAGAUAAAAACACUUCAUCAAAACACAUCUGUGCCAGUGAUCGCUUUUAUUUUCACGCCUCCAACAAAUCACAGUUUAUCUUUUAAAUCUUAACGCAGCUUGGCUGAAGAUUACCAUUUAUUUAUGAUUAAUCACAGCAGUGUGUAAACAUAACCCUGUGUUUUUCAGUCAUUAAAUUGAAUUUUAUUGAACCGUG